AAAAUACUGGAUUUGUUUAGUAAUAUAYAUUAAAUAUACUGAAUAACAUAUUACAAAUAAAAGCCUAAUAACUCUUAUUUUUAUUUUAAAACAGAUGAAAAGUAUGCCAGUAAAAAAGGAAGACAACAACAAAAGAUCAGUCGCUGCUAAAAGCAAAAUGAAGUGUGAAAGUGGAAUAAAAUCUGUUGACGAAGAGACCAUUAUGUCUUUGCUUGCUGAAAAUCUAUCUAUAUGAAAAUCUAUGAGGGCUCAAAUAGAGAGAAUGAAUGCAAUUUUAAAAGAAUAUAAAUCAUAUUCAGCAGCUUCAGAAUAUUUAAGCUAAUACAAUGUUUCAUAAUCAUGAACUUAAUUAAACAUGGUAAAAAUUGUAUAUAUUUAAAAAAAAAAGUAAUGAACUGCACAUAGCAUAAGUGAGUAGUUAGAAUUGUACAUUUGAAAUAAAAUAAAUUUGUAUCAUUUA